UACGUAGGGUCCGAGCGUUGUCCGGAAUUAUUGGGCGUAAAGGGCUCGUAGGCGGUUUGUCGCGUCGGGAGUGAAUACUCAGGGCUCAACCCUGAGCGUGCUUCCGAUACGGGCAGACUAGAGGUAUGCAGGGGAGAACGGAAUUUCUGGUGUAGCGGUGGAAUGCGCAGAUAUCAGGAGGAACACCGGUGGCGAAGGCGGUUCUCUGGGCAUUACCUGACGCUGAGGAGCGAAAGCAUGGGGAGCGAACAGG
rnacentral:rRNA from 1 species